AAAGUUCUAGUUAAAUUAUAACAUUAAGCUGUCAAAUUAAAAUUACUUAUACCAAGUGAACUUUA
rnacentral:tRNA from 1 species